UACGUAGGCAGCAAGCGUUGUUCGGAGUUACUGGGCGUAAAGGGUGUGUAGGCGGUUCUUUUUAAGUUUGGUGUGAAAUCUCCCGGCUCAACUGGGAGGGUGCGCCGAAUACGUGAGGGACUAGAGUACGGGGAGAGGAAAGUGGAAUUCCUGGUGUAGCGGUGAAAUGCGUAGAUAUCAGGAGGAACACCGGUGGUGUAGACGGCUUUCUGGGACCGUAACUGACGCUGGAGACACGAAAGCGUGGGUAGCAAACAGG
rnacentral:rRNA from 1 species